rnacentral:rRNA from 1 species
CGAUCCUAGCUUGCUAGGAGGCGUCGAGCGGCGGACGGGUGAGUAACGCAUAGGGAUCUGCCCGGUAGUGGGGGAUAACCUGGGGAAACCCAGGCUAAUACCGCAUACGUCCUACGGGAGAAAGCAGGGGAUCUUCGGACCUUGCGCUAUCGGAUGAGCCUAUGUCGGAUUAGCUGGUUGGUGAGGUAAUGGCUCACCAAGGCGACGAUCCGUAGCUGGUCUGAGAGGAUGAUCAGCCACAUCGGGACUGAGACACGGCCCGAACUCCUACGGGAGGCAGCAGUGGGGAAUAUUGGACAAUGGGCGAAAGCCUGAUCCAGCCAUGCCGCGUGUGUGAAGAAGGCCCUCGGGUUGUAAAGCACUUUCAGUGAGGAAGAACGCUUUCGGGUUAAUACCCCGGAAGAAAGACAUCACUCACAGAAGAAGCACCGGCUAACUCCGUGCCAGCAGCCGCGGUAAUACGGAGGGUGCGAGCGUUAAUCGGAAUUACUGGGCGUAAAGCGCGCGUAGGCGGCGUGAUAAGCCGGUUGUGAAAGCCCCGGGCUCAACCUGGGAACGGCAUCCGGAACUGUCAGGCUAGAGUGCAGGAGAGGAAGGUAGAAUUCCCGGUGUAGCGGUGAAAUGCGUAGAGAUCGGGAGGAAUACCAGUGGCGAAGGCGGCCUUCUGGACUGACACUGACGCUGAGGUGCGAAAGCGUGGGUAGCAAACAGGAUUAGAUACCCUGGUAGUCCACGCCGUAAACGAUGUCGACUAGCCGUUGGGCUCCUCGAGAGCUUUGUGGCGCAGUUAACGCGAUAAGUC